rnacentral:rRNA from 1 species
CACGUAGGGCGCAAGCGUUGUCCGGAAUUAUUGGGCGUAAAGAGCUCGUAGGCGGUCUGUUGCGUCCGCUGUGAAAACCCGGGGCUUAACCCUGGGCUGGCAGUGGAUACGGACAGACUAGAGGUAGGUAGGGGAGAAUGGAAUUCCCGGUGUAGCGGUGAAAUGCGCAGAUAUCGGGAGGAACACCGGUGGCGAAGGCGGCUUGCUGGACCUGGUCUGACGCUGAGGCGCGAAAGCGUGGGGAGCGAACGGG